rnacentral:rRNA from 1 species
GAUGAACGCUGGCGGCGUGCCUAAUACAUGCAAGUCGAGCGAACAGACGAGGAGCUUGCUCCUCUUACGUUAGCUGCGGACGGGUGAGUAACACGUGGAUAACCUACCUUUUAGACUGGGAUAACUUCGGGAAACCGUAGCUAAUACCGGAUAAUAUUUUGAACCGCAUGGUUCAUUUGUGAAAGACGCUUUUGCUGUCCUUUAUAGAUGGAUCCGCUCCGCAUUAGCUAGUUGUUAAGGUAACGGCUUACCAAGCCGACGAUGCUUAGCCGACUUGAGAGGGUGAUCGGCCAAACUGGACCGGAGACACGGUCCAGACUCCUACGGGAGGAAGAAGAAGGGAAUCUUCCGCAAUGGGGGAAAGCCUGACGGGGCAACGCCGCGUGAGUGAUGAAGGUCUUCGGAUCGUAAGCCUCUGUUAUUAGGGAAGAACAAAUGUGUAAGUAACUAUGCACGUCGUGACGGUACCUAAUCAGAAAGCCACGGCUAACUACGUG